CGGAAGAAAAAAGUGGAGAGGAAUCCAGAGCAGAGCGUCAGUCAGGCCAAACCAAGUCAUCCUAGAUGCCCAGCACAAUGCUGGACGUCCUCUCCGCUUAUUCUGGACAAGGGUCAGCCCUGCAGUUGGGUGGCUCUGCUGGAACGCAGGCUGCAGUGCUCACCAGCUUUGGAUCUCAGCCACAGUUGCCCCACAUACAAAAUGAGUAUAAGGCACUUACCUCUUGGGUUUGGGGUGAGGGUUAAACGAGAUCAUGAAUGUAAACGGUGGAAGGACACCAUGCUUCUCAUAAAAAAGACCUCAGCAGGACACACACAGAAAUCCAGGCGACUGGGACAGAAACCAUGUCCUCCAGGAAGGGAGCGGCCCAUCAGCCCAGGGAUCGCCAGUACAGGAGCCCCUUUUUUGGAAGGAAGGCCAUGGGAACACACAGAGACCCACGGGGAAGACGGCCAGGAGACAAGGGAGGCAGAGUCUGGAGUUAUGCUGCCUACAGUCAUCUGCCAAGGACAGCCAGAAACCACAAGAGGCUAAGAGGGAGAUUUUACCUGAAAGCCUCCUGAAGAAAUCAAUCAUACUCAUACUUCCCUUUUGAAUUUUUGGCCUCAUGAACUGUGAAAAAAUAAAUUUCUAUUGUCUUAAGUGGUUUGUGGUCA
rnacentral:lncRNA from 13 species